UCUGGAAUUGCAUGGAGUCUACUAGAAAACUUAGAGAGGAAAAUAGACACAGAGAACUGCUGAUCUGUCCUGGAGGUCACAGCCAUGAAUCCACUACAGUCAACACAGAGCUCUUUCCAAGAAGUGCCAUCCGAGGCCAUGCUGACUCAGGGACAGACAGCAAACUGCUGCUGAGCUGGGCAUCUUCCUUUUCCAGUGUCUCAGCAUCAGUCGUGUCUGAGACUGUGGGGCCAGUCCAAUGGCAUUACCUAUGUGCCCUCCUUUCUGCUUCUGCAGGGAAACCAGCAAGUAAUCCUCAUGUCUCCCUACAAUCUCCCUAAAUAUUGUACUCUAUGAAU
rnacentral:lncRNA from 1 species